rnacentral:ncRNA from 1 species
AAAGUUGUUAUAGUUAAAAAGUCAAUACUUGAACCUUGGGUCUGGCUGGACCUUUCCUUCUGCGGAUGGAGCGUCAUGGCCUCCACGAGCUGUGGGGAAACAAGGACUUUUGCCAUAAAAAGCUAGUGAAUUUAAAUCAGGCCUAUGCUUGAACAUUACCAUGGAUAAUAAACCAGGAUUGCGAUUCCAUUUUCUUGGUUUCUAGGGCCGCAUAAUGAUUCAUAGGGAUAGUUAGGGGGGGUCAGUCCAACUCUCGGAGACGGAAUUCUUAGAUUUGCCUUAAGUCUAACUGCCAUAAAAGCAUUUACCAAAGAUGUUUUCAUUGCCCAGUUAUCAACGAGAUUAGUUGAUUGGAGAUGAUGAGGUACGAUCAAAGUCCUAAUCAAAUUUCCAUAAACGACGCCGACCAUGGAUCGAGGGAUCAAGCAGGUUGUCCAUAUGAUCCUCUUGGCAUCUCACGCGAAAUCAGAAGGUUAAGUAGACUG